rnacentral:rRNA from 2 species
UAGAGAUAGAGCGUUCCCCUUCGGGGGACAGAGUGACAGGUGGUGCAUGGUUGUCGUCAGCUCGUGUCGUGAGAUGUUGGGUUAAGUCCCGCAACGAGCGCAACCCUUGAUCUUAGUUGCCAGCAUUUAGUUGGGCACUCUAAGGUGACUGCCGGUGACAAACCGGAGGAAGGUGGGGAUGACGUCAAAUCAUCAUGCCCCUUAUGACCUGGGCUACACACGUGCUACAAUGGAUGGUACAAAGGGCUGCAAGACCGCGAGGUCAAGCCAAUCCCAUAAAACCAUUCUCAGUUCGGAUUGUAGGCUGCAACUCGCCUACAUGAAGCUGGAAUCGCUAGUAAUCGCGGAUCAGCAUGCCGCGGUGAAUACGUUCCCGGGCCUUGUACACACCGCCCGUCACACCACGAGAGUUUGUAACACCCGAAGUCGGUGGAGUAACCGUAAGGAGCUAGCCGCCUAAGGUGGGACAGAUGAUUGGGGUGAAGUCGUAACAAGGUAGCCGUAUCGGAAGGUGCGGCUGA